UGGGGAAUAUUGGACAAUGGGCGCAAGCCUGAUCCAGCAAUGCCGCGUGAGUGAUGAAGGCCUUCGGGUUGUAAAGCUCUUUCGCACGCGACGAUGAUGACGGUAGCGUGAGAAGAAGCCCCGGCUAACUUCGUGCCAGCAGCCGCGGUAAUACGAAGGGGGCUAGCGUUGUUCGGAAUUACUGGGCGUAAAGGGCGCGUAGGCGGUGUGUCAAGUCAGGCGUGAAAGCCCCGGGCUCAACCUGGGAACAGCGCUUGAGACUGGCACGCUCGAGUUCGGGAGAGGAUGGUGGAAUUCCCAGUGUAGAGGUGAAAUUCGUAGAUAUUGGGAAGAACACCGAUGGCGAAGGCAGCCAUCUGGACCGACACUGACGCUGAGGCGCGAAAGCGUGGGGAGCAAACAGG
rnacentral:rRNA from 1 species